rnacentral:lncRNA from 1 species
CACAGUUUUCCAGAGUCAUAUGACCCUUUUCUAUCCAAUAAAAAAUGUCCUGGAAAGCUCUCCUUUCAUGAUAAGAUUGGCAUAAGAGGAGAGUUACCUGGUGCUGCUUCUUUCCCUGUCUGAAACAUGGAUGAGAUGGCUGGAGCCACAGCAGCCACCCUGCAACAGAAGGCCACCAGCAUGAAGGUGAUUGGCGUCUCUUUCCAUUCAAAAUUAGAGAAAAUACCAAAGCUCAGCAGUGAUCUUCCUUCUAGAGGCUUGUUGGAACUCCAAACACAUACCCCUGACAGAUACAACAGGGAUUAAUGAGCCAUGACCAGAAGUUUGAUUUUUCUGUCGAGUGCUCCCAUCCGUCUUUAAUAAACAGAAGAACAACAUAAACUCCAUUGCCUGCUUUCCACUGCUGAAACUGAGCUGGCUGUUCCUGGUACCAUGUGUGUUGAGCUGAGUUAUGAUUCUAAAUGACUCGACAAACGCUUUUACAAGCCCCUUUGGUCUGCUACUCUGGUGACUGGCUUUGCUCUCCAAGUUCCAUUUCUUUGCCUCUGUUUAACGUGGGCAGCUCAGUGCUUUGCCAGUGGAAACCAUCAAAUAAGGCUGUCUCCUGCGAGGACCAGAAGUUGAGCCAAGGCACAUGGAACUUACAAUAGCAGAUGGGCAGAAGGAGAACUCCUGAAGCCUCCGAAGGAAGGAAAUCAUUACAGGGCCCUACAGAAGUAGGUCAUGUGCUACAGCUGCUCAUAGUUUAAGAGGAAGAAACAUGGGAUCUCAAACCUGGAACACGACUCUUUCAAAAUGCUUGUGAGCAACCCAAGAAAAACAUCCUCCUGAGGCUUAUCUAAUAACCAUGAUCUCUAAUCGUCUCAAUGUGUGCUCAUGUUUCCUUAGGAGUUUGCACCCACUUCUCAGAGCUAACGAGAUGCCGAAACAGAACACAGAAAAAAGUAAUGAAGGAGAUUUAAUAGUUUGUGUUAAAGCUAAUAUGGUCCAUUAGGGGCUGUCAUUUUUAUAAACAGUGAGGAUACGUUACCCUCUUCUUUGGUGUAAAGUCAUUCCGUGCAGGACCUGUAAACAUUCAGUAAUGAUCUGUAGAACAUGCAUGAACGACAAUUAAAGCACCACUUGAAAAGUCUGUUUUCCUCACAUAUUUGUUUUCUUGCUAAAUAAACUUGUAAAGUUCAUACAUGUGUACGCAUAUGCUUACAUUAUAAAAAAAGUGUGCAUUUCAUUAAGAACAUCUACGAACAGAUAUAAGUGUUUUUGGUUCCCAUUAGCUUGAGAAAUAUCAGAAGUGAUUAGUUAAAUGAGGAGCAUAGGUUCUGUUUUUUAGUGCAUACUAUAAUAAUAAAACAACCACUCUUUUAUGGUAGCUUAGCAAGACAAAAUUAUAGUUCACAAUGUCAUGAAAGGCAUGAUUACAACCUUUGAAAGUUACAAGUAAAAAAGCUUCUAUAAAACCUAUCUGUUGCCAAAAAAUUAUGUUCUACAGUGAUUCAGAUAUAUUUCUGAAAUUUAUUUUUUAAUUGUGGCUGAUACCAA